CGGACCCCGGUGUUUUCUGGACGCUUGAAAUAUUUUAAUUUUCAACUCGGUGACAGUUAAAGACUUUCGCCUUCGCACAUUCGACAGUCCGACUUCUUCUUUUUCGGACUUUUGUAAUUAUCUUGUACUUGUAUACUUGUCAUUUUUACUCUAGAGUAUCCGCAGUAGGAAAUUUUAAAAUUUGUAUAACUAUUCUGACUCUUAUUGGUAGUUUGAUGAUGUAUUAUGCAAGACAAUUAUGACUAUUUUAUAUUUGGUUAAUUGUAUA